rnacentral:ncRNA from 2 species
AGUAAUAACUAGGGGUGUCCAAUGAGUUGGGCUGAGAGAUAAACAUGCAGAAGUUUAUUGACCCUUUGGACCUGAUCUGGCUCAUACCAGCGUGGGGAAGUUUAUGACAUUACAG